CGCUUCCUGUCGGCUCUCUCUUUUUCUUACAGCGUGGCUGAAGCUGGAUCGUGGAUGCGCGCUGGGCUCGAUGGCAUCUCAGGUGGCGGCUGUGAGCUCCCCCAUGGCAAGCCAGGCUUUGUGUUAUGUCGAGAGGAGGCCGCUGGCCUCUGAAAUCCAGCGAGGAGAUGGUGAUGAGAAGGCCUCCCUCUAUCAGAUCCUGCUUGAGCUCAUGGAUGCUGUGAAUCGCCUUCCUGAGCCGACCUCAGCUGGAUCUCCUUCCUGCCCUUCAGGAAGCUCAGAGGCUCCUUGGAGCCUGCAAUAGGAAGUUGUGGAUGAACCAGUUUCUUCUGGGGAGGAGCCUAAAGCCCCCAGUGAAGCCACAGAUGCCCACAGAGAAGGGAGAUCCUGUGAAAGUUCAGAAGUCGCAAAGGCCUUGCUCAACAUCUACUUGGGGCACUGCUGGGGCUUGGCCCACAUCUGACGACUCCUUCAACGAUAACCUUCUCUCCAGAACCUGACUCCUUUUGAUGGCAGCGAGGGGCAGAGGCAUGGGACUUGUAUAACUGCCCGCAUCUGACAGAACAGUGGGGAGGAGAACUGGGAUGCUGUGGAAGCAUCCGACUUUUCAGGAUUCCUCAAGUGAAUACCUCUCAUUUCCUGGCAUUGCAUCAGGUGCAAGACCCAUUGAAGUGAAUGAAUGUGACUAAUUGGGGCAUGUUGAUUUCAAUGAGCCUACUCUUGAGUUCAGCUUAGCUGCACAACACUUGAAGUCCCUCCUUAUGGCUUACCUCUUCUGGGAAGCCUUUGGCAAAUAUGCACAGGUACCUUUGUAAUUAAGACCAGGGUUGUUGUCGUCGUCAUUGUCAUCUGCCCUUCUCUCAAAGGUCCCAGGGCAGGUUAGGGCAUUAACCCUCCCAUUAUAUGUCAAGGAGAUAAAGCACUACACAACUUUGAGAAGACAUCUGAAGGCAGCCCUGUUUCAGGAAGUUUUUAAUGUUUGAUGUUUAGUAUUUAUAUUCUGCUAGAAGCCGCUCAGAGCAGCUGGGGAAACCCAGCCAGAUGGGUGGGGAAUAAUAACAACAACAACAAAAAAUAAUAAUUUAUUACUUAUACCCUGCUGAUUUGGCCAGGUGUCCCCAGCCACUCUGGGCAGCUCCCAACAGAAUAUUAAAAGCAUGAUAAAACAUCAAACAUUAAAAACUUUACUAAACAGGGCUGCCUUCAAAAAGUCAGAUGGUUGUUUCUAACCUCACUUCUUGCAUGGAGGGAACUGCCAGAAGGCCCUGGGAGCUGGACCUCAGUGUCCGGGCUGAACGAUGGGGGUGGAGAUGCUCAUCAAUAAUGUAUUCUAAGUAUACGUAUUUGGAAUUAUCAUCUGCCUCCUCUUGAACCCCGUUCCUUCUUAUUAAAUUUAUUACCCGUCCAUCAUCAUCAGGUUCCAGGGUGGGUUACAACAAUUUAAAAUUCAGUCUUAAAUUCAAGUUGAAGCAGAUUAGAGACACAAUAAUAUUGGUGGGGCCCUGAAAACAAACAUCUCGGGUGUCUAAAGGUGUGGGGAAGGAGGAACCCUCCAGGAGUUGUUUAACUGCACCUCCCAGCAUCCCUGGCUGUUGGUUGUGCCUCCUUUUGUUUCCUUACAUCUGUUCUAGAUUAUAAGAUGCUUGUGGCAGGGACUUGCCGUACCUGUUCUUUGUAAAGCCCCAUGUUCAUAGUGCUGUAUGACUGCUGCUAUGAUUGCAACAAUAAAAUAAUCAAAGGCAUUUAAGACUGAGCUGAUCCUCCAGGGCAGCUGAGGCGUUAUUUUUUUGUUUUUAUUUUGUGCACUGGGUGAUGUUCACAAUUAAUGUGGAAGCUCAGGCACCACCCAACACUUAUGCUGGUGCCGGAAACCCAGAAGAGUGUGUUGGGGGAAGAGCCGUCGGCUUGUGAGGAUAAGGAAGAAGUCAUAAGUAGCGAAAUCUGCAAGGUGAAUGUUUCAUCAAAUCAUUGACUGCUUCUGUGUAACCACCAUCACUUUAUUUGUAGGGCGACCUUUGCACAAAUAAACCACGCUCAAAGUGGCUUACAACAACGUAUCAUGAAAUCAGCAAUUGCAAGCAUGGUUUCAUAAUAUUGUAGCAACAAAUUUGAGUGGACGUAACAGCAUACAAAAAACAAGGAAACAGCACUACUGUAAGUGUAACCACAUUGCGCCUUCUGGCAGGAACGCAAGCAUUAAAGCAGUUGAAACAUUUUUGCCUUGGUUCUAGAUGUUCUAGCUGCUGCUGCUAUGUCAGCUACAGAGAAUCAGGUUAGUCAGAUCAAAUGUCUAAGGACUCAGCUAAAAAGGUAAAGGACCCCUGACAGUUAAGUUCAGUCACGAGCGACUCUAGGGUUGCGAUGCUCAUCUCGCUUUACUGGCCGAGGGAACCGACGUUUGUCCGCAGACAGUUUUCCCGGGUCAUGUGGCCAGCAUGACUAAGCCGCUUCUGGCGAAACCAGAGCAGCUACUUGCACUUUGACAUGCUUUUGAACUGCUGUGUUGGCAGGAGCUGGGACAGA